AUCUAAAGGGGCCAAUUGUGAAGGACUUUAGCCAUAGGAAAAUGCAUGAAUAGAGAGGUUUUUUUACUUAGAACUUCAGAAGCACUCUGCAACAUCACACAGGGGAAGAACCACAGACCUGCGUUUUCGUACAUUAUAUUUGUGUAUUAUACGUUUAUUCACAUCUUUGUCUUUCAUCCACCAUCAUAACCAGCCAUGAGGGCAUCGUUGAUAUUUCUAUUUGUGAUACUGAUGGGUGACCAAAGUCAAUGCCAAAGUGGGGAUUAUGAAAUUGAAUACGAACAUGAACCGGGUCCAGACAUCCUGGGACUGAUCAAACAGACUGCACUGGGCAAGGAAAUCAGUGACAAGAUCUCAGAGAGUGUGGAUGCAAUCAAUCAAUAUGCCCAAGCCGUGGGAAGCAAGGCCCAGUCUAUGUUUGAUAACCUGGGUCGUCAAGCUGAACGUGAAGCCAUGUUUGCCAAACAAGAUAUCCAGAACAACGCCAUUGCUGCUGUCCAGAACGUCCACGGCCGGCUAACGCAGAGUGCUGGGGACAUGCGGCUGAAGACUGAGUCACUCAUCGAGGCGGUUGCACACUCCCUGCAGAUUCAUCUUCACGUGUUUUGGGAGUCACUGACAAAAGGAAAUGAAACACACCCUCUGUUCCAGUGAGAUGCCCAAUGCCAGUGUGAUGGAGGCCCAUGAGUGUGCAUGUCAAUCUUACCUAGAUUAGGUGGGCCAUACCCGCUUAAUACUAUUUAUGAUGUGAAUGAUAAUCUUGCUCUCUCAUUUUUAUCACAACAAAUUCAUCUAGCAGCAGUUUUUCAUUGCUGUUUGUAUUCCUCAAUAACUGAAUGGAGUGUUAAGAGUUGAAUGCUAAGUACACAGAGUGCAAUAAACUCUACUCUCAAACUGUACUCUCA
rnacentral:lncRNA from 1 species